CAGGAGGCAGGGAGGUGCCUCUGCCCCAGGAAGGGGUGCUCUCCUCUCCAAGGUGUGGGUGCAGGAUCCCUCGCUGUCCCAGAGUGUGCUGAAGCAGGGGAGCUGCUCCAGGGGCCAGCACAGAUCCACGUGGACACCCCCUGUACCUGUCUGUGUGGUGUGUGUUGGACUCAGAUCUCCUGGGAACUUCUAAAUAAACACAAGGAAGGAGCAAAAGCACAGAGGAUUGAGGGUGAUGGGCUGCAGCUCCAGCUCUGCAAAGUUCAUGUUGUUUCCCCCUGCAUGGGUGAGAUUUCUGCUGUUAUGAAAGUGGAAAUCCAGCAUUGAGUGGAGGGAUGUAGCUGUGAGCUGCAGAGAUGGACAGCUCGGCACAACUGCUGCUUUGGGGAUGUCUGAGAAGGUACCUGGGGAGCCCGAGCUGAUGUUUCCAGGUGUGAUGUGCAGGUCUGAGCUCCCAGCUUCACUGCGGGGUAAAUACCGAGCAGGGCUGCGGUGCCUGACUGGAGCUGCACCACAAGAGGGCAAGCGGAGGCCACGAAUGCUCUGCUCCCCUCUGGGAGAGGAUGUGAGAAGGGUGAGAUGUGGAGAAAGGUCCCCAGCACCCCUGGGGCAGGGCAGGGGCAGCGAGCUCUGGGCUGCUCUGCCGCUUGCAGGUGGCUUUUCAACGGGGAGAAACUUGGUGGUGUUUGUUAAAUGUUUUGUUAAAUUUGUUGAGUGUUGUUCUUCAGGAGAAGGAGCUGGAGAAGGAGCACAAGCCUUGAGAGAAGUGGCUGAGGCAACUGGGUUUUUAGUUGGGAGAAAAGGAGGCUGAGAGAGACCUUCUGGCUACAACUUCCUUUCAGCGUUGAGGAGAGCAAGGUGGGGACCAGUCCUUUCUCCCAAGUAACGAGAAAUUAGACAAAAUUAAAUGUUCUGAUGUUAUGCUGGGGGAGUUUAGAUUGGGAUAUUGGGGGAAAUUGUAUCACUGACAGGGUGAUCAGGCAUUGAACAGGCUAAAUUGCCAUCUUUGGGAGUAUUCCAAAAGCCUGGCUCUUAGGGACAUGAUUUUACUGGUGGGCACGGUGCUGCUGGGCUAACAGCUGGAAGUUAUGAACUAAAGGUCUUUGCCAACCUAAAUGGAAAUACAUGAAAUCCCUGCUGGGUGCUUCUCUGCUUUGUGGCUCAAGGCAGAGGUUGCUGCUCUCAGCCCAGGUCAGAGCUAUGGGACUCUGCCUUGUUAAUUGUUUGCAGCCCAGCUUGCCCAGACCCCAUCCCAGUAAAGGAAAACACAGGGUUUUGCUCAGAGCCCUCCUUGGGAAGGGUGGCAAAACACUGAAGUGAGGCCUGGAGACGUGGUUGGAGCAUCCCAAGCUGCUUGAUGCUAUUCCCUGCUGUCCUGGUGGCAUCUGCAGCUCCUUGGCACCUGGUCCUCCUGCACUUGGAGGGCAGGGGAUGCAACAUGGGUGCAGCAGAAUGCUGAACUGAAACUGAGCAGGGAAAGAAAUCAUUCCCAGCUCAUCAGUGGCAACAUGAGUGGAAAUGACCCUGUGGAACCAGACAAUGGUUUUAAACUCUUCUGACAUCACUGGAAAUGGGUGGAGUAGGCUGAAAAAUGCCUUAAAACUGGUUUU